rnacentral:lncRNA from 1 species
AUAGCAGCGCUAGCAGAUGAAUUUAUAGACUCUUUGAUAUUGAUAGGAAUAGAUGUAGAUAUUUUGAUCAACUUUCAUAAGUUUUCUUGCAUUAUGAUCAUUUAAAUUCUAUAACUCUAUAGCAUGCAGUUAGAUAUUCCUUUUAAUUUCAUAAAAUUAGUAAAAUUUGAUACAAGUAUAUCUAUAACUCUAUAGCAUGCAUUUAGAUAUUCCUUUUAAUUUCAUAAAAUUAGUAAAAUUUGAUACAAGUAUAUCUAUAAUUCUAUACU